UCCUUCGCGAGGAGGAACCUGAAGGAAGCUGGCGGCAAACUCUCGGCUCUACGAACAGAAACUGAUUAUAAGGCUACAUUUGGAGGACAAGUUUGCUAAACAAAAUAAAGUCCUAUAACUAUCCGAAUCCCUAUGUAGUAGAAUCAGAGGGUAUAUGAGAUGAAAGCGUACGUU
rfam:Bacteroides coprocola DSM 17136 Scfld_02_14 genomic scaffold, whole genome shotgun sequence.